GAUUUAUGCACCGGGGCUCAGUUGCGCUGCAGGUCCACAGCCCAAUAACAUCUUGUCGUCGUCCCGACUCACCGCCGCCGUCAUCAUGAGUUCAUGACUGGCCUACCGAUCGCCGCACCAGGCCCUCGCGCGGGGCAAUAGAACUAUAGAAGUCCUCACCCCCUCCGACGACAGCGCCGAUCGUUACGCCGCCGGUUAGUCCGGCACGUGAACUAACCACGAUCUCCCCCGAUGGCGUCGUCGUUCAAGCCGCACGCCGCACCGAAGAGGCGCGCCCUCGCCACGUUCAACAUCGGGGCUCUGCCCCUGGACCUCCUCGUGUACGAGAUUCUGCUGCGCCUCCCCGCCAAGCUCCUCUGCCGACUGCGCACGGUGUGCCGGUUGUGGCGGUCCAUCCUCUCUGACCCGCACUUCGCCGCGGCCCACGCCAUGCGGCACCCGGGGCCGCUCAUCAUCGCCGCCAUCGAUGAGAGACCCGACGUGCACGUCAACAUCAUGGAUCUGUCAGGGCAAAUCUUAAAGCAGGUGCGCGGCGUGCCGGGUCAGAGAGUCGUGAGCACGGCCCUUGACCUCGUCUUUGUCAAGAAAACCGAUAGCAGCAGCAGCAGCUACCGAUUCUGCAACCCGUUUAGCGGAGACGUGCAUUACUUACCAGAUCAAUUGCUCAACCCAGCAACUGGAGCUGUGUAUCAAAUACCAAACAGCUUCGCCGAAGAACACAUAGAUUUCACAUCGAGCUUUAUUUCACAGUCCAGAUAUCUGUUUGGUCAGGUUAGCAGCACAGGGGAAUACAAGGUGUUCCGGAAGCUUUACCAUCUUUCCGUUCAGUUUGGAGGCAGGCAGCUGCUCGAGAUCUGCACAGUCAACGGUAGCAACCACACAGGGUGGAGGGCAGUCACGCCCCUCGAAAAAAACAUUCAGUUUGGUGUGUUCACCAGUGUGGUAAUUAAUGGAAUCAUCUACUCCCAAUGUUUUGAUCCGCACCAUUCUAUCACUUAUGAUUGUCGAGCUACUGAGGAAGACUUGAUAAUUACAUUUGACAUUGAGACUGAGAAAUGGGGGCCAUUUAUGCGAGGACCCCCCAUCAGCUUUUCUGAUGCUGCUGCUCAGGUGUUCAAUGACCUUCGGCUUCCACCUAUAAAGCAGCUAACAUUAGCCAAUCUGAAUGGCUCUUUAGCUGUUGUGCAUGGCCCAGCUCCCAGUAUGGACAUUUGGAUUCUGAUGGACUCUGGUAAGGGUCUCUGGGUCAAACAAUACAUCAUACAGUUCAAAGAGUAUGCCAGUUUUCAAUAUGUGCAUCCAUUGGUGGUAUUACGUGACGGAAGGGUGGUCCUAUAUAAAGAAGACAUGCAGCUUUUACAGAUCUAUGACCCAAGAACUAACACACUCACAGAUUCCGUGGAGGUGUGCCAUUUUUCUGCAGUUGCUUUGUUUGGAGGAAAUCUACUGAGUUUAUAAUAUUACUAUACGGCACGGCACCUUCGGCGAGGACUCAACUCAACAGAGAAUGAUUUGACAAACAUUGAUCCGCCAGCUCAACUCUGAAAAAGAAAAGAGGAGAAUCUCUCUAGCUUGUGGAAUCACUUCCCUGGAUGCUUAGAUAGCUCGAGAAAGUCUUGCAGGAUCGCAUCUAUUGCUUCUUGUGCUCAUCGCAGGGCUGUCUAGUAUCAGUGGUGGCAAUAUCUUUAGCUAUAUUCUUUCUCUUUGUCUUGGCCUUGACCUUCACAGCUUUAGAUGCUGGUGCUGCACCACUUGUGUGCUCUGUAGAUGUUCAGGUUGAUUUGAGCCUUCUUUGGAUCUGUAAAAAUGCAUUCAUUUUAGUUAAACUUCGAGAGUUAUACCGUUUAGUACCAACAAUUUAUUGAUUUAAAACUGUGAGAAAAUUAGAUCUACUCAUAAGCCAAUUUUUAUGUGAAUUUUCAUGCAUUUGACAAAAUCAGAUAUGUUUACAGGAUGUUUCCCUACAAGCGAAAAUAUUAAAUCAGGGUCAUUUGCCUUUAAA